AAAUGCAAUGUAAACAAUAAAUACAAAACUUCAAAAUAUAGAGACAAAGAAAUAAAAGUGAAUUCUGAUAAUUCCAUUAGUAAGAUAACCGCAAAAUACCUAAAAAACAAAGUCAAAUUCAGGUAUUUUCAGAAUAUCUACACUUAAGACAGAUAUGAUCCCUGCAUGUGUAUCAUCAGCAUCACCUAAAAAAUUUUUGGUUUUUUGAGACAAGGUCUUGCUUUGUCACCUAGGCUGGAAUGAUCAUGGAUCACUGCAGCCUUGACCUCCCAGGCUCAAGUGAUGUUCUUACAUCAGUCUCUAAGUAGCUGGGACUACAGGCACAUGCCACCACACAUGGCUAAUGGGAAACUGUUAGAAAUGCAAAUGCUCAGGCCCCACCCCAGACCUACAGACUCUGGGAACAGGACUCAGUCACUGGUAUUUUGACAAGCUAUCUAGGUGAUUCUGACAUACACUUAAGUCUGAAAAACAGAGCUUCAAGGUUAAGAAAACAAAAAGAGUUUGUAUAAAGCUCAGUAGGGGCCAAAUGAAUGAAACACUAAACAAAAUAGAUAAGCAGGUUAUGGCUUGACUUUUAUUAAAACAACACAAAAUGAAAAAGUAAUCUACUCCCUACAAA